rnacentral:rRNA from 1 species
AAUCGCCGAUGAAGGACGUUACUAACGACGAUAUGCUUUGGGGAGCUGUAAGUAAGCUUUGAUCCAGAGAUUUCCGAAUGGGGAAACCCAACAUGAGUUAUGUCAUGUUAUCGAUAUGUGAAUACAUAGCAUAUCAGAAGGCACACCCGGAGAACUGAAACAUCUUAGUACCCGGAGGAAGAGAAAGAAAAUUCGAUUCCCUUAGUAGCGGCGAGCGAAACGGGAAGAGCCCAAACCAACAAGCUUGCUUGUUGGGGUUGUAGGACACUCUAUACGGAGUUACAAAGGACGACAUUAGACGAAUCAUCUGGAAAGAUGAAUCAAAGAAGGUAAUAAUCCUGUAGUCGAAAAUGUUGUCUCUCUUGAGUGGAUCCUGAGUACGACGGAGCACGUGAAAUUCCGUCGGAAUCUGGGAGGACCAUCUCCUAAGGCUAAAUACUCUCUAGUGACCGAUAGUGAACCAGUACCGUGAGGGAAAGGUGAAAAGCACCCCGGAAGGGGAGUGAAAUAGAACCUGAAACCGUGUGCUUACAAGUAGUCAGAGCCCGUUAAUGGGUGAUGGCGUGCCUUUUGUAGAAUGAACCGGCGAGUUACGAUUUGAUGCAAGGUUAAGCAGUAAAUGUGGAGCCGUAGCGAAAGCGAGUCUGAAUAGGGCGUUUAGUAUUUGGUCGUAGACCCGAAACCAGGUGAUCUACCCUUGGUCAGGUUGAAGUUCAGGUAACACUGAAUGGAGGACCGAACCGACUUACGUUGAAAAGUGAGCGGAUGAACUGAGGGUAGCGGAGAAAUUCCAAUCGAACCUGGAGAUAGCUGGUUCUCUCCGAAAUAGCUUUAGGGCUAGCCUCAAGUGAUGAUUAUUGGAGGUAGAGCACUGUUUGGACGAGGGGCCCCUCUCGGGUUACCGAAUUCAGACAAACUCCGAAUGCCAAUUAAUUUAACUUGGGAGUCAGAACAUGGGUGAUAAGGUCCGUGUUCGAAAGGGAAACAGCCCAGACCACCAGCUAAGGUCCCAAAAUAUAUGUUAAGUGGAAAAGGAUGUGGCGUUGCCCAGACAACUAGGAUGUUGGCUUAGAAGCAGCCAUCAUUUAAAGAGUGCGUAAUAGCUCACUAGUCGAGUGACACUGCGCCGAAAAUGUACCGGGGCUAAACAUAUUACCGAAGCUGUGGAUUGUMCUUUGGACAAUGGUAGGAGAGCGUUCUAAGGGCGUUGAAGCAUGAUCGYAAGGACAUGUGGAGCGCUUAGAAGUGAGAAUGCCGGUGUGAGUAGCGAAAGACGGGUGAGAAUCCCGUCYACCGAUUGACUAAGGUUUCCAGAGGAAGGCUCGUCCGCUCUGGGUUAGUCGGGUCCUAAGCUGAGGCCGACAGGCGUAGGCGAUGGAUAACAGGUUGAUAUUCCUGUACCACCUAUAAUCGUUUUAAUCGAUGGGGGGACGCAGUAGGAUAGGCGAAGCGUGCGAUUGGAUUGCACGUCUAAGCAGUAAGGCUGAGUAUUAGGCAAAUCCGGUACUCAUUAAGGCUGAGCUGUGAUGGGGAGAAGACAUUGUGUCUUCGAGUCGUUGAUUUCACACUGCCGAGAAAAGCCUCUAGAUAGAAAAUAGGUGCCCGUACCGCAAACCGACACAGGUAGUCAAGAUGAGAAUUCUAAGGUGAGCGAGCGAACUCUCGUUAAGGAACUCGGCAAAAUGACCCCGUAACUUCGGGAGAAGGGGUGCUCUUUAGGGUUAACGCCCAGAAGAGCCGCAGUGAAUAGGCCCAAGCGACUGUUUAUCAAAAACACAGGUCUCUGCUAAACCGUAAGGUGAUGUAUAGGGGCUGACGCCUGCCCGGUGCUGGAAGGUUAAGAGGAGUGGUUAGCUUCUGCGAAGCUACGAAUCGAAGCCCCAGUAAACGGCGGCCGUAACUAUAACGGUCCUAAGGUAGCGAAAUUCCUUGUCGGGUAAGUUCCGACCCGCACGAAAGGCGUAACGAUUUGGGCACUGUCUCAACGAGAGACUCGGUGAAAUCAUAGUACCUGUGAAGAUGCAGGUUACCCGCGACAGGACGGAAAGACCCCGUGGAGCUUUACUGUAGCCUGAUAUUGAAAUUCGGCACAGCUUGUACAGGAUAGGUAGGAGCCUUUGAAACGUGAGCGCUAGCUUACGUGGAGGCGCUGGUGGGAUACUACCCUAGCUGUGUUGGCUUUCUAACCCGCACCACUUAUCGUGGUGGGAGACAGUGUCAGGCGGGCAGUUUGACUGGGGCGGUCGCCUCCUAAAAGGUAACGGAGGCGCUCAAAGGUUCCCUCAGAAUGGUUGGAAAUCAUUCAUAGAGUGUAAAGGCAUAAGGGAGCUUGACUGCGAGACCUACAAGUCGAGCAGGGUCGAAAGACGGACUUAGUGAUCCGGUGGUUCCGCAUGGAAGGGCCAUCGCUCAACGGAUAAAAGCUACCCCGGGGAUAACAGGCUUAUCUCCCCCAAGAGUUCACAUCGACGGGGAGGUUUGGCACCUCGAUGUCGGCUCAUCGCAUCCUGGGGCUGUAGUCGGUCCCAAGGGUUGGGCUGUUCGCCCAUUAAAGCGGUACGCGAGCUGGGUUCAGAACGUCGUGAGACAGUUCGGUCCCUAUCCGUCGUGGGCGUAGGAAAUUUGAGAGGAGCUGUCCUUAGUACGAGAGGACCGGGAUGGACAUACCUCUGGUGUACCAGUUGUCGUGCCAACGGCAUAGCUGGGUAGCUAUGUGUGGACGGGAUAAGUGCUGAAAGCAUCUAAGCAUGAAGCCCCCCUCAAGAUGAGAUUUCCCAACUUCGGUUAUAAGAUCCCUCAAAGAUGAUGAGGUUAAUAGGUUCGAGGUGGAAGCAUGGUGACAUGUGGAGCUGACGAAUACUAAUCGAUCGAAGACUUAAUC